GACGUAGGGGGCGAGCGUUGUCCGGAUUUAUUGGGCGUAAAGCGUGCGUAGGCGGCUGCGCAAGUCGGGUGUGAAACCCCGGGGCUCAACCCCGGAACUGCAUCCGAUACUGCGUGGCUAGAGGUAGGUAGGGGAGAUCGGAAUUCCUGGUGUAGCGGUGAAAUGCGCAGAUAUCAGGAGGAACACCGGUGGCGAAGGCGGAUCUCUGGCGUCAACUGACGCUCGAGGCACGAAAGCUAGGGGAGCAA
rnacentral:rRNA from 1 species